rnacentral:rRNA from 1 species
AACGAACGCUGGCGGCAUGCCUAACACAUGCAAGUCGAACGAGACCUUCGGGUCUAGUGGCGCAAGGGUGCGUAACGCGUGGGAACCUGCCCUUAGGUUCGGAAUAACUCCCCGAAAGGGGUGCUAAUACCGGAUAAUGUCUUCGGACCAAAGAUUUAUCGCCUUUGGAUGGGCCCGCGUUGGAUUAGCUAGUUGGUAGGGUAAAAGCCUACCAAGGCGACGAUCCAUAGCUGGUCUGAGAGGAUGAUCAGCCACACUGGGACUGAGACACGGCCCAGACUCCUACGGGAGGAAGCAGUGGGGAAUAUUGGACAAUGGGCGAAAGCCUGAUCCAGCAAUGCCGCGUGAGUGAUGAAGGCCUUAGGGUUGUAAAGCUCUUUUACCCGGGAUGAUAAUGACAGUACCGGGAGAAUAAGCCCCGGCUAACUCCGUG